rnacentral:rRNA from 1 species
CAGAGGGGGCAAGCGUUGUUCGGAAUUACUGGGCGUAAAGGGCGCGUAGGCGGCCUGUUAAGUCGAACGUGAAAUCCCCGGGCUCAACCCGGGAACUGCGUCCGAUACUGGUAGGCUUGAAUUCGGGAGAGGGAUGUGGAAUUCCAGGUGUAGCGGUGAAAUGCGUAGAUAUCUGGAGGAACACCGGUGGCGAAGGCGGCAUCCUGGACCGAUAUUGACGCUGAUGCGCGAAAGCCAGGGGAGCAAACGGGAUUAGAUACCCCGGUAGUCCUGGCACUAAACGAUGAAUGCUUGGUGUGGCGGGUAUCGAUCCCCGCCGUGCCGAAGCUAACGCAUUAAGCAUUCCGCCUGGGGAGUACGGUCGCAAGGCUG